rnacentral:rRNA from 1 species
AGUGAACGCUGGCGGUAGGCCUAACACAUGCCAGUCGAACGGCAGCACAGUAAGAGCUUGCUCUUACGGGUGGCGAGUGGCGGACGGGUGAGGAAUACAUCGGAAUCUACUUUUUCGUGGGGGUUAACGUAGGGAAACUUACGCUAAUACCGCAUACGACCUACGGGUGAAAGCAGGGGAUCUUCGGACCUUGCGCGAUUGAAUGAGCCGAUGUCGGAUUAGCUAGUUGGCGGGGUAAAGGCCCACCAAGGCGACGAUCCGUAGCUGGUCUGAGAGGAUGAUCAGCCACACUGGAACUGAGACACGGUCCAGACUCCUACGGGGGGCAGCAGUGGGGAAUAUUGGACAAUGGGCGCAAGCCUGAUCCAGCCAUACCGCGUGGGUGAAGAAGGCCUUCGGGUUGUAAAGCCCUUUUGUUGGGAAAGAAAAGCAGCAGGUUAAUACCCCGCUGUUCUGACGGUACCCAAAGAAUAAGCACCGGCUAACUUCGUG